GAUCCCUCCAUUUUCCUGGGAUAAUCCUUAGGGAUGGAGAGCCACUUACACAGCAGAUUUCUGUUGCAUUACAGUGGGAACAGGGCCUUAAAUCUGUGGGAAUGAAGACGUUGUGAAUUUGGUUUGGUUUGGUGACUUCAGUUGAAGUAUGCUUGCCUGUAGCAGCCAUUCAGAGGAAAGUUUUGAUCACCUCUCCUACAACGCAGCAAUGAGUGCAGCUAGUCUGGCUCGUUGACUCUGAUCAUGAUGUAUGCUCCUUCUCUGUCCCUCCCUCCCCCUUCUCUCUCUUUGCCCUUGGAAAGUUGCCUUUCCCUAACAGCUGUUCUCAGCUGUUAGGCCUCCAGCUUCAGAAAUGGAUUGCUCCCAAAAAGACACCCUUCCUCUCUCUGGGAUCCGGUGUGGUUAAUCAUUAUUAGGCACUUAGUGACACUCCAAAACUCCACUCCAUCACUGUCGGUCUCACUCCUGCGUGGACAGGCUUGCUAGCAAACCUCCUUGGAGGUGGUAAAAGAGCCAUGUAGGACACCGUAUCUGAUACUUUCCGAGACUAUUUGUUGCCCUGGUUGGCAUUGGUAAGAGCUUUGGUGCACUCCCAGGACAAGUACACAGAAGCUCAUGUUAUUUGCAUCAGAGUUGGGUCUGGCGUAGGCUACAAGCUACAGCAGGAAUUCACUGCUCACUGUUCAGGAAUGCAAAGUGGGUGACAUUGACUCAUUAAUCUGUGAGUUGUUGACGUUGGCUUGCAGCCCAGGCUGCCUGGACGGAGUUUACAGAUCUUGGGAAGCUUCACCUAAAGGGGCCGUUCAAGGGAGGAGGCCUCUGCUGCAUUUGGCAACGGCCUCACAGUGUUACACAUAGGACCUGGUGGGGAGUGUGGUUAAUAUCUCCACUGUAUUCGUCACUUUAGGAAAUGCAGAGAGAAUCCUAUUUUUCUAGCUUUAUUUUGCACUAGCUCUUGUGCAUUCUCAUUCAUCUGUAUUGAUCUACUUUGCAUGGAGGCAAUAGAGAUGACAUUAAAA